CCUACGGGAGGCAGCAGUAMGGAAUAUUGGUCAAUGGNGGGAAGUCUGAACCAGCCAUGCCGCGUGGAGGAUGAAGGUCCUCUGGAUUGUAAACUUCUUUUAUCUGGGAAGAAAUGCUUUUUUUCCAAAGAGCUUGACGGUACCGGAUGAAUAAGCACCGGCUAACUCCAUGCCAGCAGCCGCGGUAAU
rnacentral:rRNA from 1 species